GACGAACGCUGGCGGCGUGCUUAACACAUGCAAGUCGAACGGAAAGGCCCUGCUUUUGUGGGGUGCUCGAGUGGCGAACGGGUGAGUAACACGUGAGUAACCUGCCCUUGACUUUGGGAUAACUUCAGGAAACUGGGGCUAAUACGAUAGGAGCUCCUGCUGCAUGGUGGGGGUUGGAAAGUUUCGGCGGUUGGGGAUGGACUCGCGGCUUAUCAGCUUGUUGGUGGGGUAGUGGCUUACCAAGGCUUUGACGGGUAGCCGGCCUGAGAGGGUGACCGGCCACAUUGGGACUGAGAUACGGCCCAGACUCCUACGGGAGGCAGCAGUGGGGAAUAUUGCACAAUGGGCGGAAGCCUGAUGCAGCAACGCCGCGUGCGGGAUGACGGCCUUCGGGUUGUAAACCGCUUUCGCCUGUGACGAAGCGUGAGUGACGGUAAUGGGUAAAGAAGCACCGGCUAACUACGUG
rnacentral:rRNA from 1 species